CUUAGCAGAGAUGCUUUGGUGCCUUCGGGAACUCUGAGACAGGUGCUGCAUGGCUGUCGUCAGCUCGUGUUGUGAAAUGUUGGGUUAAGUCCCGCAACGAGCGCAACCCUUAUCCUUUGUUGCCAGCGGCUCGGCCGGGAACUCAAAGGAGACUGCCGGUGAUAAACCGGAGGAAGGUGGGGAUGACGUCAAGUCAUCAUGGCCCUUACGGCCAGGGCUACACACGUGCUACAAUGGCGCAUACAAAGAGAAGCGACCUCGCGAGAGCAAGCGGACCUCAUAAAGUGCGUCGUAGUCCGGAUUGGAGUCUGCAACUCGACUCCAUGAAGUCGGAAUCGCUAGUAAUCGUAGAUCAGAAUGCUACGGUCGAAUACGUUCCCGGGCCUUGUACACACCGCCCGUCACACCAUGGGAGUGGGUUGCAAAAGAAGUAGGUAGCUUAACCUUCGGGAGGGCGCUUACCACUUUGUGAUUCAUGACUGGGGUGAAGUCGUAACAAGGUAAGCGUAGCGAG
rnacentral:rRNA from 1 species